GGCCAUGGCUCAGUGGUAGGGCGCUCGCCUAGUAUGCGUGAGGCUCUGGGUUCGAUCCUCAGAACCA
rnacentral:tRNA from 1 species